rnacentral:lncRNA from 1 species
GAUUUUCUCCUAUGUUAUCUUUUGGAGUUUUGUAGUUUUGCAUUUUGCAUUUAGGUCUAUGAUUGAUUUUGAGUUAAUUUUUCCAAAAGGUGCAAAGUUUGUGUCUACAUUCAUUUUUUUGCUUGUGAAUAUCCAGUUGCUCCAGCACCAUUUGUUGAAAAGACUAUACUUUCUCCACUCAGUUACUUUUGUUCCUUUGUCAAAGAUCACUUGACUAACUUUGUGUGGGCCUAUUUUUGGGCUCCGUUCUGUUCCGUUGAUCCUUUUGUCUAUUCUUUCACCAGUAUCACACUGUCUUGAUUAUUAUAGCUUUGUAUUAAGUAUUGAAGUCAUGUAGUAUCAGUCUUCCAGCUUUGUUCUUCUUUAGAAGCUGUUUUUAAUUGAGUUGUUUGUCUUUAUUGUUGAAUUGCAAGAUUUCUUUAUAUAUUCUGGAUACUAGACCCUUAGCCAGAUGUAUGAUAUACAGUUAUUUUCUCUAAUUUUUGUUGUCUUUUCUCUUUCUAGAUGAUGUUCUCUGAAGCACAUAAGUUUUUAAUUUUGAUGAAGUCCAGUGUAUCUGUUUUUUUCUUUGGUUGUUUCUGUUUUUGAUAGGAUAUCAAAACUAAGCCAAGGUCAUAAAUAUUUACUCCUAUGUAACUUCUAAAAAUUCUAUACAUUUAAUGUUCACCAGGAUGAGAAUGGUGAUGUGGCUUUUGUCUCACUAGGAUGAGAAUGGUGCCUUGGUCUCAUGGAAAAGCCUGGGGAAAGGCUGUUGCUGUGAAUGUGGUGGAUUCUCUACUUGUGCCUGUGCAGGACAAGGACAUGGAGCCACUUGGCCAACUAUGAGGCCGGAACACAUGAUGUCAAUGAAGAAGAAGCUUUAUAUGUGGGACGCUUACCACAGCAUGGCUUGCCGCGAUGCCAUGUCCACACCAGGAUCUGAACCGGCGAACCCCGGGCCAACGAAGCAGAACGUGCGCACUUAACCUCUGCGCCACCAGGCCAGCCCCUAUUUCUCCUUUUAUGUCUGUUAAUAAUUGCUUUAUAUAUUUAGGUGCUCCUAUAGUUGGGUGCAUAGGUUUUUACAAGUAUUAUAUCCUCUUGUUGGAUUGUUCCCUAUAUCAUUAUGUAGUGUCCUUCUUUGUCUCUUGUUACAGUUUUUAUUUUAAGGUCCAUUUUGUCUGAUAUAAGUAUUACCAUCCCUGUGGGUGUACUUUGAAGACUACGUAAAGAG